UAAAAUGGAAGAGAAACGGAAGAGGAAAGACAAAGAGAAAGGAGGGAGUUCUUUUAAUUCUUGGUAUUUCCUCUUUCUUUUUCUUUCUUUUCUUUUCCACUACU
rnacentral:ribozyme from 1 species